rnacentral:rRNA from 1 species
AUGGACCCGACCGUGAAGAAAAGAAGUAACCAGAGGGGCCAAGCUAAAGUUGGAGGGAUCAUCUUCGGAGCCUCCGUUUUCCCCUCGGGCCUGGCCACAUCUCCCCUCUCGUCUCCUUCUCCACCACCGGUCGCCGCCGCGGCCAGGCCGGCGUGGCGGCGCGCCACCGCGCCAUCACCAGCAUCCGCCAGCACACACCGUCCAUCCAUCCAGCCACCAGCGCCACCGCAUCACCACCGCGCCUCCGCGACCUCGCUGCUCCACAUCAUCCAUCCAUCCACCACUCCGUCUUCGCCGCCAUCACCUUGCGCGCUCCACUUCGUCGCCGCGCCUGGCGCGUCCGACCAGACGGGCGUCUGGUUCCCCGCGCCACCUGCUGCUGCUCUCUCCCUCUCCACUGCUCCUCCCCUCGUCUCCACUUCCUCCGUUUCUCUUCUUCUUCUCCACAAACCUGCUGCUCUUCUUCUUCUCUCAACGCUCCUGCUGCUUCUUCUCCUUGCAUCCCUUUGCUGCUGUUGCCUCAACCUGCUGCUUCUCUUCUUCCACGCAAUCUGCUGCUCUUCUUGCGCCCAAGCUCCUGCUUCUUCUUUUCUGAAUCCCCAAACGCUUUCCUGUGUUGCUCAAGUAGCCGUGACAUAUAUAUUUCCUUUUGUAGUCUAUGUUAUUGCAUCUUCUCAGAUAUGGCUUACUAUUCAGAUCAUCAUGCUUAUGCGAGCAACACUACAAAUAGCACGGAAAGGAAUUAGGUACAAUGAGGAGAGCCACAACCAUGCACCACAACAGUUUUAUUCUCCUCCUACUCAUAUACCGCAGCACCAGGAGAUGUGUCCAAUGGAGUUAAAUGGUCCUCCAUUUGGUCAACCAACAACUCCAGCACCUGUUGUGCAAUCUCAUGUGCAAGUGCCCACACAAGAUGAGUUCGAUGACAUAGACAAGCUCACACUUUUGAGUCUCGAGUUCACUUGGAGUGCCGAGGAUGAUCCUAUUAGGAAGGUUAUACUAGAGGAAAUGAAGAAGAUCAAGAAUGGGAAGGAGCUAGUGGAAGAAGGAAGAUUAAGAAGAACAUCAACGCUGGCACAAGAGUCCAGAGGAAGAGAGACCUCAGAGGAAGAGAGACCUCAGAUUGAAGAUGUACUUGAAGCCAAGGAACAAGAUGAUCUGGAGCUCAAAUGCCCAAGUGAUCAACUUGAAGAUCCAAUGUCUUUCUUUCCCAAAGAAGUAAAAGAAGCUGAUGCAGUUGAAGAUGGAGAACCUGAGAUUCAUUUGCCUAUUAUCAUACAAGAGCGUGAUGUGCCAGGUUUACCUAAUCCUCUUGAUGUCAUGCGUCCGUAUAGUUUCUUUGCUACUACCUUGCAUUACAUGAUUCCAUCACUUAAGAUUGAUUUGAAAACUCAUAUGCUUGGAUAUGAUGAUACAUACACUGUUGGUGGCAUUGCUCUCAUUUAUGAUGAUGACACUUAUUCUCCUCAUGCUAGACUUAUGCUUAAUGGUUUCUGCUUGUGCACGAAUCAAUAUAUGAUGACCAGGUUCGAGGUGACAUCCCUUGGGAUCCCGGUGGAGUCAGAGCAUGGAGAUGAGGAGAAGCAAGGGGCACACAUGAAGAAGAGUGAAGCUGAAGCAUGCACGAGGAAGCAAAGGAGAAGAACUGCAGCUUAGAGAGUGAUCAAGCGAGUGCUACAUCAUCAAAGCCCGGUGAGCUGUUUCAUGAUCCAUUUUGAAAUCAUCAUCCAUUGAUGCUUGCUGAAUUAAAUUGCUAUUUGGGUUGCUUGUGCCAUUUCUUAAAUGUCGUCCCACUGAAUUUCACCUUUGACAUAUGGUGCUUGAUGAGAAUAUGUGAACUGAUUGUUGAAUGCCUUGUAAACUAGUGAUCUACAUCCUGUUUGCUUUGCUGAAAGUAGUGAAAGCUAUUAGUUUUGAGUGCUCAAAUCCCUAGUGCACUAGUAAACUUAAUCAUUUUUUGCUUUUACCUCGAUAAACCUAGAUCAUUAAGUGUCAGAUGCUCAGUUUGUGCCUAAUGUGUUCCCAUUGAGAGCAAUCACUUACCAUUAUGGAUUAGCAUGCUAUGUUCUCUGGAUCGAUAGCAUGUGAACUAGACAUGGCCAACUUGAUCUAUUUAUCUUGCAAUGGGAAGAUGUGCUUUGUGAUGGGUUCGAUCUUAUGGUGCUUGAUCCCAGUGACAGAAGGGGAACCGACACGUAUGUAUCGUUGCUAUUAAGGAUAACAAGAUGGGGUCUAUUUCUACAUAAAUAGAUCUUGUCUACAUCAUGUCAUCAUUCUUAUUGCAUUACUCCGUUUCUCCAUGAACUUAAUACACUAGAUGCAUGCUGGAUAGCGGUCGAUGUGUGGAGUAAUAGUACUAGAUGCAGGCAGGAGUCGGUCUACUAAUCUUGGACGUGCUGCCUAUAUAAUGGUCAUUGUCUGGAUAUCAUCAUGAUUAUUUAAAGUUUUAUCAAUUGCCCAACAGUAAUUCGUUUACCCACCGUUUGAUAUUUUUCUCAAGAGAAGCCACUAGUGAAACCUACGCCCCUCGCGUCUCUUCUUUAUUAUAUUUGCCUUUGUGAUCUAUUUUUAUUUGCUUUUAUUUUCAGAUCUAUUAAACCAAAAAUACCUUCUGCAUUUUAUUUUAUCUCGCGUUCCCGCGAGAUCCAUCUAUCAAAUUAUUACAACUUUCUCACGUUCGUUUGCCAAUUUCUGUCACCGUUGCCCGAAAGGGAUUGACAACCCCUUUUACACGUCGGGUUGCGAGUAUUUGUUAUUUGUGUGCAGGUGCCGUUCACGUAGUGUUGCGUGAUUCUCCUAUUAGUUCGAUAACCUUGGUCUUAUCACUGAGGGAAAUACCUACCGUUGCUGUGCUGCAUCAUCCCUUCCUCUUUGGGGAAAUACCGACGUAGUUCUAGCAGACAUCUGCAGCCGGGGAUGAUGACGUCCUAAUGAAGGACGCGGCCAACGACGAGUCGGCGCCACCCUCUUUUUUCUCUGCUCCACCCUCCUUCGCGCCACCCUCACUGGUGCAUUGCACCAUGACCAUCGGUGAGGCCCAUGCCCAUUACAUGGACAUCAUGCGGGAGGAGCCGUUUCGGGAGCACAGGCCAAUGCCGCCUACAACCACCACCUCCUCCAGGUGCACCUGCAGGCGGAGGAGCAGCUCUCAACCGGCAAGGCGGUCGCGUCGGACGCGGACCUGACUGAGCAAGAAACGUUGCCCGAGUCCUACCGCUCUGCCUGCAAGAUCCGCCUCGCCCGCUGGUGGUACCGCCAGCAGGUGGCAGAGGUGGCAGCCGGGUACAAGGAGGGCGACAAGGCGGGCGAGGUGAUGUUCGGUGAGACCGAAGAGAAGGACAAGGACAUCACCGAUGCCACGCCCCGCCGCCACAACCACGAAGCCGGCACGUCCGCGGAUGCUGCCCAUAGCGAGGAAGAGUAGUGCAUGGUAGGUCAUCGCCGCUCGGGUCCUAGGAAGGCCACCGCUCCUCCCCUUCCGUCGACGCCAAGCUGGGUGGGCCCAACAUCGACAACCACUUAGCCGCUUGGCGGUGACGUGAAGACGGACAGCUUCACUUCCGGGUCUCCAGAGACGUAGGUUACAGAGACGGAGCUGGAGAACGUGAAGCUUCAGUUCUCAGGGCUCAUGGAACGAUACGAGAAUCAAACGCCGGCGACCAUUUGGAUUAGGUAUUAAUUAUACCUCUAGAGUCAGACCAACACCACUUAGUUGAUGUAAAUGUAAUUAAAUUCUUCAUGUUUAUAUGAAAUCCGGCUGUGUUUGCAUGAAUUUCAUCCGGUUGAUUCGAACUAUUGUCAAAAUAUAUGCUGCCAGGGUUGGAUGGCGGCCUCCCGCAUCCGUGUUCGUGGACUGGUGAUACGUAUCCAAUGUAUCUAUAAUUUUUGAUUGUUUCAUGCUGUUAUAUAAUCAUUCUUGGAUGUUUUACAAUCAUUUUAUAGCAACUUUAUAUCAUUUUUUGGGACUAACCUAUUGACAUAGUGUCCAGUGUCAGUUGCUGUUUUUUGCUUGUAUUUUACUUCGCAGAAUAUCAGUACCAAACGGAGUCCAAACGCAGCGAAACUUUUUGGAGAAUUUUUAUGGACCAGAGGGAACAACAUGGGCCAAAGAAGUACCCGAUGGAUGCCCCGAGGGGGGCACAACCCACCUGGGCGUGCCUGGGGAUCCAGGCGCGCCCUAGUGGGUUGUGCCCACUUCGGUGGCCUCCCGAACCGCCUCUUCGCCCUAUAAAUAUUCAAAUAUUUCAGAAACCCUAGAGGAGUCGAUGAAACACAAUUCCAGCCGCCGCAAGUUCCAGAACCACGAGAUCCGAUCUAGACACCAUCAUGGAGGGGUUCAUCAUCCUCAUUGGUGCCUCUCCGGUGAUGCGUGAGUAGUUCAUUGUAGACCUACGGGUCCGUAGGCAGUAGGUAGAUGGCUUCUUCUCUCUUUUGAUUCUUAAUAGAAUGGUCUCUUGAAGAUCUAUUUGAUGUAACUCUUUUUGCAGUGUGUUUGUUGGGAUCCGAUGAGCUUUGAGUUUAUGAUCAGAUCUAUUUAUCCAAG